rnacentral:rRNA from 1 species
UACGUAGGGGGCAAGCGUUGUCCGGAUUUAUUGGGCGUAAAGAGCGUGUAGGCGGCCAUGUAGGUCCGUUGUGAAAACUCGAGGCUCAACCUCGAGACGCCGAUGGAAACCAUGUGGCUAGAGUCCGGAAGAGGAGAGUGGAAUUCCUGGUGUAGCGGUGAAAUGCGCAGAUAUCAGGAAGAACACCCGUGGCUAAGGCGGCUCACUGGCCCGGUACUGACGCUGAGGUGCGAAAGCGUGGGGAGCAAACAGG